rnacentral:rRNA from 1 species
CAGCCGCGGUAACACCGGCAGCUCUAGUGGUAGCAAUUUUAUUGGGCCUAAAGCGUCCGUAGCCGGUUUAAUAAGUCUCUGGUGAAAUCCUGCAGCUUAACUGUGGGAAUUGCUGGAGAUACUAUUAGACUUGAGACCGGGAGAGGUUAGAGGUACUCCCAGGGUAGAGGUGAAAUUCUGUAAUCCUGGGAGGACCGCCUGUUGCGAAGGCGUCUAACUGGAACGGUUCUGACGGUGAGGGACGAAAGUUAGGGGCGCGAACCGGAUUAGAUACCCGGGUAGUCCUAACUGUAAACGAUGCGGACUUGGUGUUGGGGUGGCUUUGAGCUGCUCCAGUGCCGAAGGGAAGCUGUUAAGUCCGCCGCCUGGGAAGUACGGUCGCAAGACUGAAACUUAAAGGAAUUAGCGGGGGAGCACCACAACGCGUGGAGCCUGCCGGUUUAAUUGGAUUCAACGCCGGACAUCUCACCAGAGGCGACAGCUGUAUGAUAGCCAGGUUGAUGACUUUGCUUGACUAGCUGAGAAGUGGUGCAUGG